GACGAACGCUGGCGGCGUGCCUAAUACAUGCAAGUUGAGCGCUGAAGGUUGGUACUUGUACCGACUGGAUGAGCAGCGAACGGGUGAGUAACGCGUGGGGAAUCUGCCUUUGAGCGGGGGACAACAUUUGGAAACGAAUGCUAAUACCGCAUAAAAACUUUAAACACAAGUUUUAAGUUUGAAAGAUGCAAUUGCAUCACUCAAAGAUGAUCCCGCGUUGUAUUAGCUAGUUGGUGAGGUAAAGGCUCACCAAGGCGAUGAUACAUAGCCGACCUGAGAGGGUGAGCGGCCACAUUGGGACUGGGACACGGCCCAAACUCCUACGGGAGGCAGCAGUAGGGAAUCUUGGGCAAGGGACGAAAGUCUGACCGAGCAACGCCGCGUGAGUGAAGAAGGUUGUCGGAUCGGAAAACUCUGUUGGUAGAGAAGAACGUUGGUGAGAGUGGAAAGCUCAUCAAGUGACGGUAACUACCCAGAAAGGGACGGCUAACUACGUG
rnacentral:rRNA from 1 species